GCCGCCCCGGGGCCGGAGGGCCUGGAGGGCCCUGGAGGAGCGGGCUGCGUUCUGCGUCUCUCCGCGAUCUCUGCCGCCGAUCUAAUUUUUUAAUUUUUUGUAGAGACAGGGUCUCACUGUGUUGCCCAGGCUUGUUUUGAUCUCCUGGGCUCAAAUGAUCCUCCUGCUUUAGGCCUCCCAAAGAGAACAGUGAUUACAGGUGUAAACUGCCAUGUCCAACCCUACUAUUUCAUUCCUGCAGAAACCACAAUAAAGGGACAUGCCCUCAGUUGCCCUAUCUCCCUCUGCCUCAUGACUGACCGCGGUGCGUGACCUGAGUGGCCUUGUGUGGCCUGCUGCUUUCUCCCCAGUGAACUGUGAAUUACUAAUUGAGGCAUGUUUUGUGACUAUGGCAGAGGCAAAAAAGUACAAACAAUUUCAAAAUUGUCUCUCCUGAUGCCUAGCCUUUGGUUGUGACAGAGGGCCUCUGGAGCAUCCAGAAAAGAGGUUGCAUUUGGAGAAAAUGGUUGAUUCCCUUUAAGGAAUCAAGGUUAGCCUGCAGAGCUAAUAAAAGCCCCUUGGGAAAACUUGCCUGAUACCUUGUCUACAUACUCUCUGUACAGGAUUGCUAAUCUGUGGCUAUCAAGCUCCAAACGCUAAUGCAAAUAAAACCACACAUGGACGUGCCUUUUAUCCAAGGACCCCCAGACCAGCCCCAGGAGGAAACCUAGCUGCUGUUCCCCUCACAACACCUUUCUCCAGUAGUAUCAUCACCCCACCUACCUAACAGAAGUUAGGGUCUCCACCCCUGAAGGGGAGAAUGAGAGAGAACAAAGAAAGAAACUGGUCAGUCAGGCAGUUUGGGUGGAUCCUUGGUUGAAUUCUUUCAAGCAAAAGAACAGCCUGAAAACUCAAGCUCCAGGCACAGAUAAGGGAACUUGCACAGGGGAGCUUGCCUAGGACAUGCCCACAGCUGCAUAGAUAAGAAAGGCUACACAGGUGACUUGCCCAGACAUCUCUGCAAUGGAAAAUUCCAUCCCCUAACACAUGUGCAGUAAGGGGAACAAAGCAAUAUGGAGUAACUCAAGCUAAGGGCCCUCGUGCACACUGGGAGGACAAAGUGGAGCUACCAGAAAUUCACACCUUAUGCAAAUGAGACAUCCAGCCUUCAUUUUUUUUUUUUUUUUUUUUUUGAUAUAAAAGCCUUUGCAUUCAACUGUAAAAAUGGCAACCCUCUUCUGGGUCCCCUCUCUGUACCAGAGAGCUUUCUUCUUUCACUUACUAAACUUUCACUCCAACCUUACCCUUUGAUUCCACACUCCUUAAUUCUCUUGGUCAUCAGACAAAGAACUCUGAGUGAUACCUCACAGUUAAAGACUGCUACAUUGUGGUGCAUUGGCAAGACUGUUACAUCAUGAGGGAUGGCUAUUGUAUAUCUUACUCUUCAAUUCUGUGAGAUCUCUGUUUCUACAAUAAUACUGUGAUCUGUGAAACAGGUUUGGUAUGUCUUUGUUUUCUGUAUUUGUAAAAAAUAAAAAUAAUGAAGAAAGGCUUC